rnacentral:rRNA from 1 species
UACAGGGGGUGCAAACGUUGCUCGGAAUCAUUGGGCGUAAAGAGCUCGUAGGCGGCUUGUCACGUCGGGUGUGAAAGCCCGGGGCUUAACCCCGGGUCUGCAUUCGAUACGGGCUGGCUGGAGUGUGGUAGGGGAGAUCGGAAUUCCUGGUGUAGCGGUGAAAUGCGCAGAUAUCAGGAGGAACACCGGUGGCGAAGGCGGAUCUCUGGGCCAUUACUGACGCUGAGGAGCGAAAGCGUGGGGAGCGAACAGG